rnacentral:rRNA from 1 species
UACGGAGGGUGCAAACGUUGCUCGGAAUCAUUGGGCGUAAAGCGCGCGUAGGCGGCGCGUUAAGUCGGGUGUGAAAGCCCUGGGCUCAACCCAGGAAGUGCAUUCGAAACUGGCGCGCUUGAAUAUGGAAGAGGGUCGCGGAAUUCCCGGUGUAGAGGUGAAAUUCGUAGAUAUCGGGAGGAACACCAGUGGCGAAGGCGGCGACCUGGGCCAAUAUUGACGCUGAGGUGCGAAAGCGUGGGGAGCAAACAGG